GGUCGAUGAUGAUAGAUCUUAAGGCUUGUUUCUCAGAACAUUCGCAGUGGCCGCCAGAGAGCUUUCGCCUUUCGCCGGGCUUGAGAGCUUGUGCUGCUUUUAUCCUUCCUUGGAUGUCUGAGCCU
rnacentral:snoRNA from 1 species